CAGUCGCCACGGUAAUACGAAGGGGGCUAGCGUUGCUCGGAAUUACUGGGCGUAAAGGGAGCGUAGGCGGACAUUUAAGUCAGGGGUGAAAUCCCAGAGCUCAACUCUGGAACUGCCUUUGAUACUGGGUGUCUUGAGUGUGAUAGAGGUAUGUGGAACUCCGAGUGUAGAGGUGAAAUUCGUAGAUAUUCGGAAGAACACCAGUGGCGAAGGCGACAUACUGGAUCAUUACUGACGCUGAGGCUCGAAAGCGUGGGGAGCAAACAGGAUUAGAUACCCGCGUAGUCCCUGUCUCUUAUAU
rnacentral:rRNA from 1 species